rnacentral:rRNA from 1 species
GGCUCAGGAUGAGCGCUAGCGGUUGGCUUAACACAUGCAAGUCGAACGGUAAGGUCUCGCUUGCGAGAUAACGAGUGGCGCACGGGUGAGUAACGCGUAUGAAACUUGCCGAUAGCCGGGGAAUAGCCCGAGGAAACUUGGAUUAAUACCCCAUAAUAUUUAUAAUACACCUGUUUUAUAGAUUAAAGUUUCGGCGGCUAUUGAUAGUCAUGCGUACCAUUAGUUAGUUGGUGAGGUAAUAGCUCACCAAGGCAUUGAUGGUUAGGGGUUCUAAAAGGAUGAUCCCCCACACUGGUACUGAGACACGGACCAGACUCCUACGGGAGGCAGCAGUGAGGAAUAUUGGGCAAUGGACGGAAGUCUGACCCAGCCAAACCGCGUGCAGGAUGAAGGCUCUACGAGUCGUAAACUGCUUUUGUUCGAGAAGAAAACUUCGGAUUUAUUCGGAAUUGACCGUAUCGGACGAAUAAGCAUCGGCUAACUCCGUGCCAGCAGCCGCGGUAAUACGGAGGAUGCAAGCGUUAUCCGGAUUUAUUAGGUUUAAAGGGUGCGUAGGCUGUAUAGUAAGUCAGUGGUGAAAUCCUGUGGCUUAACCAUAGAACUGCCAUUGAAACUGUUAUACCUGAAUUUAGUUGAGGUAAGCGGAAUGUAUUAUGUAGCGGUGAAAUGCAUAGAUAUAAUACAGAACACCAAUUGCGAAGGCAGCUUGCUAAACUGAAAUUGACGCUGAUGCACGAAAGCGUGGGGAGCGAACAGGAUUAGAUACCCUGGUAGUCCACGCCGUAAACGAUGAACACUCGUUGUGUGCGAUACACUGUACGUGACUGAGCGAAAGCAUUAAGUGUUCCACCUGGGGAUUACGUCAGCAAUGAUGAAACUCAAAGGAAUUGACGGGGGCCCGCACAAGCGGAGGAACAUGUGGUUUAAUUCGAUGAUACGCGAGGAACCUUACCUGGGCUUAAAUGCAUUGCAUUUUCGGAUGUCGUUUAUAGAAAUAUAACUUAAAAUUGCAAGGUGCUGCAUGGUUGUCGUCAGCUCGUGCCGUGAGGUGUCGGGUUAAGUCCCAUAACGAGCGCAACCCCUAUCCUUAGUUGCCAUCAGGUCAGGCUGGGGACUCUAAGGAAACUGCCAUCGUAAGAUGUGAGGAAGGUGGGGAUGACGUCAAAUCAGCACGGCCCUUAUGUCCAGGGCUACACACGUGUUACAAUGGUCGGUACAACGAGCAGCUACUUGGUGACAAGAUGCUAAUCUCCAAAGCCGGUCUCAGUUCGGAUUGAAGUCUGCAAUUCGACCUCACGAAGACGGAUUCGCUAGUAAUCGCGUAUCAGCAAUGACGCGGUGAAUACGUUCCCGGGCCUUGUACACACCGCCCGUCAAGCCAUGGAAGCCGGGGGUACCUGAAGUCUGUCACCGCAAGG